rnacentral:rRNA from 1 species
GACGAACGCUGGCGGCGUGCUUAACACAUGCAAGUCGAACGGAAAGGCCCUGCUUUUGUGGGUUGCUCGAUUGGCGAACGGGUGAGUAACACGUGAGUAACCUGCCCUUGACUUUGUGAUAACUUCAGGAAACUGGGGCUAAUACCGGAUAGGAGCUCCUGCUGCAUGUUGGUGGUUGGAAAGUUUCGGCGGUGGGGGAUGGACUCGAGGCUUAUGAGCUUGUUGGUGUGGUAGUUGCGUACCAAGGCUUUGACGGGUAGCCGGCAUGAGAGGGUGAACGGCCACAUUGGGACUGCGAUACGGCCCAGAAUCCUACGGGAGGCAGCAGUGGGGAAUAUUGCACAAUGGGCGGACGCCUGAGGCAGCAACGCCGCGUGCGGGAUGACGGCCUUCGGGUUGUAAACAGCUUUCGCAUGUGACGAAGAGUGAGUGACGGUAAUGGGUAAAGAAGCAACGGCUAACUACGUG